UUAAAUUAAAAAAGAAGGAUUUUUUUUAUAACAUUGAUUGAAUGAAAAUUCUUGUUUUUUAUUAGCAAUAGUUGAUAUACAUAUACUAUACUUUUCAAAUUGCAGAAACAUAAGAACUUUAGGGCAUACAAAAAAAUGGGUGUAAACAUUAUGACCUACUUGGUCAAGUUUUUAGCAAAUCUAUUGCUACUGGGCAUCUUCACCAUACUUCUAUACAAUUACCUCCUACCUCAGAUGAAGAGCGUCAAACUGAGGAAGAAUUUCUAAAUAGAGGCAACCAUGUAUCUAAUGGUGAAGAAUCUAGCAUUGGAAACUCAAAAGGGAAGCGAUCUGCUGAUGAUUGUAAUAAUCGUAAUAGAAAUUAGAAUAUUUUAUGAUCUAAUCAAACUGAUGAUGAAUUUUUCUUUCUAUUUUGUUUCACUUUUCUUACUACAAUUUGAAGUUAUAUUUAUUUAUAGUUUUUUUCUAAAUUGUAUUUUGUCAUGUAACAUGAGUUAAAUUUAUCUAUUUAAAAGAAUAAUCAAAAUAAAUUGUUACUUUGAAAUUGCAUUAGGUAAUUAAUAAGUGAUAAUAAAA
rnacentral:misc_RNA from 1 species